rnacentral:rRNA from 1 species
UACGUAGGGUCCGAGCGUUGUUCGGAUUUACUGGGCGUAAAGGGCGCGUAGGCGGCGUGGUAAGUCACUUGUGAAAUCUCUGAGCUUAACUCAGAACGGUCAAGUGAUACUGCUGUGCUAGAGUGCGGAAGGGGCAAUCGGAAUUCUUGGUGUAGCGGUGAAAUGCGUAGAUAUCAAGAGGAACACCUGAGGUGAAGACGGGUUGCUGGGCCGACACUGACGCUGAUGCGCGAAAGCCAGGGGAGCAAACGGG